rnacentral:rRNA from 1 species
GACGAACGCUGGCGGCGUGCCUAAUACAUGCAAGUCGAACGAAGCUGUUUUAACUGGUGCUUGCACCGACUUAAACAACUGAGUGGCGAACGGGUGAGUAACACGUGGGUAACCUGCCCCAAAGCGGGGGAUAACAUUUGGAAACAGAUGCUAAUACCGCAUAAUCACAGAAACCACAUGGUUUCUGUGUCAAAGAUGGUUUCGGCUAUCACUUUGGGAUGGACCCGCGGCGUAUUAGCUAGUUGGUAAGGUAAUGGCUUACCAAGGCAAUGGUACGUAGCCGGACUGAGAGGUGGAUCGGCCACAUUGGGACUGAGACACGGCCCAAACUCCUACGGGAGGCAGCAGUAGGGAAUCUUCCACAAUGGAAGAAAGUCUGAUGGAGCAACGCCGCGUGAGUGAAGAAGGUUUUCGGAUCGUAAAACUCUGUUGUCAGAGAAGAACGUGUGCGAGAGUAACUGUUCGUGCAGUGACGGUAUCUGGCCAGAAAGCCACGGCUAACUACGUGCCAGCAGCCGCCGCCG